rnacentral:rRNA from 1 species
AGGACGAACGCUGGCGGCGUGCUUAACACAUGCAAGUCGAGCGGAAAGGCCCUUCGGGGUACUCGAGCGGCGAACGGGUGAGUAACACGUGAGCAAUCUGCCCUUAGCUUCGGGAUAGCCCCGGGAAACCGGGAUUAAUACCGAAUAUGACCUCGGCCGACAUCGGCUUUGGUGGAAAGUUUUUCGGCUAGGGAUGAACUCGCGGCCUAUCAGCUUGUUGGUGGGGUAAUGGCCUACCAAGGCGACGACGGGUAGCCGGCCUGAGAGGGCGACCGGCCACACUGGGACUGAGACACGGCCCAGACUCCUACGGGAGGCAGCAGUGGGGAAUAUUGCGCAAUGGGCGAAAGCCUGACGCAGCGACGCCGCGUGGGGGAUGAAGGCCUUCGGGUUGUAAACCCCUUUCAGCAGGGACGAAGCGAGAGUGACGGUACCUGCAGAAGAAGCGCCGGCUAACUACGUGCCAGCAGCCGC